rnacentral:rRNA from 1 species
UACAGAGGGGGCAAGCGUUGUUCGGAAUUACUGGGCGUAAAGGGCGCGUAGGCGGCCUUCUAAGUCGAACGUGAAAUCCCCGGGCUCAACCCGGGAACUGCGUCCGAUACUGGAAGGCUUGAAUCCGGGAGAGGGAUGCGGAAUUCCAGGUGUAGCGGUGAAAUGCGUAGAUAUUGGGAGGAACACCAGUGGCGAAGGCGGCUCACUGGACCGGUACUGACGCUGAUGCGCGAAAGCGUGGGGAGCAAACAGG